GAUUUUCCACUCAAAGGUUCUAUAGCGAAAAAUGAGCUCUUACAUCUAUAACUUUUAUUAUGGUAUAUAUAAUGUUAAUUCUUUUGCUUUCAAGAUCCAAGAAAACAUUCUUGGCCAAAAUCUAGGGGAAGUUACUGCCACUUCGUACUAUAUAAGGAAAACAAAGACACCAUGGAUGCUAUUAAUGUACUCUCCAAAUACUUAAGAGUCAAGCCAAAUAUAUUCUCCUACAUGGGAACCAAAGAUAAAAGGGCUAUAACAGUUCAAGAAAUUGC
rnacentral:lncRNA from 1 species